CGCAGGUUCGAAUCCUGCACGACCCACCAAUUUCAGCAUUUAACUCAGAUGCUGAACGUGAAGGAUAACGUUGCGACAGCAACGGCCCGAAGGGCGAGGCGAAGUCGAGUCAUCCUGCACGACUCACCA
rnacentral:sRNA from 1 species